rnacentral:rRNA from 1 species
UGCGAAGGGGGCUAGCGUUGCUCGGAAUCACUGGGCGUAAAGGGUGCGUAGGCGGGUCUUUUAAGUCAGGGGUGAAAUCCUGGAGCUCAACUCCAGAACUGCCUUUGAUACUGAAGAUCUUGAGUUCGGGAGAGGUGAGUGGAACUGCGAGUGUAGAGGUGAAAUUCGUAGAUAUUCGCAAGAACACCAGUGGCGAAGGCGGCUCACUGGCCCGAUACUGACGCUGAGGCACGAAAGCGUGGGGAGCAAACAGGG